GGUGGGUCAGCGGUAGAGUGCAUGCCUUCUAAGCAUGAGGCCCUGGGUUCGAUUCCUCAGCACCA
rnacentral:tRNA from 1 species